UACGGGGGGGGCAAGCGUUGUUCGGAAUUAUUGGGCGUAAAGGGUUCGUAGGCGGUCGACUCAGUCAGACGUGAAAUCCCUCGGCUUAACCGGGGAACUGCGUCUGAUACUGGUUGGCUUGAGUGCAGGAGAGGAAUGCGGAAUUCCAGGUGUAGCGGUGAAAUGCGUAGAUAUCUGGAGGAACACCGGUGGCGAAGGCGGCAUUCUGGACUGUAACUGACGCUGAGGAGCGAAAGCCAGGGGAGCAAACGGG
rnacentral:rRNA from 1 species